rfam:Branchiostoma floridae genomic scaffold BRAFLscaffold_196, whole genome shotgun sequence.
GUGACUGUGUAUGGAUAGUGUUCAGCACCAAGGACAGGUGUGUGUACCUGUGUGUGGAUGGUGCUCAGCACCAGGGACAGGUGUGUUUACCU